ensembl:lncRNA
ACGCGCCCGACAGGUCCCACCUGGCGAGCUCUCAGACGUGUGGACCAAUCAGAACGAGCCGGGCCGCUCGUCACGGGGAAAAUCAAAGUUGUUGUGGGAGCGCGUGUGUGUUUGCCAGCGAGAGGAUCGAGACGGCGAGGAGGAGAAGUGGACGGACCGACCGGCACCAGCCCCAUCCCCAAAAAAAAACACCGUAGCAGAAAGAAGAAGCCCCCCCCCCAAACACACACACACGCGGGAUAUCGCAUCAUCGCGAUGAAAGAUGACUUGACAGUUGCAAACUGCAGCUCUACCUCGUCGGACCGUGGCGAUGUUUAAACCUCUGCGUGCAUAGUACCCCCCCACACCCCCCCGCACCACUGUGGACGUCUCCAUCUGGGACUCGCUUGCCGACGGAGCGUUUGCUGAACCCGAUAUGACGGAGAUCAGCGAAAAGGAGAACGAACCACAGAACCUCCACCGUCCGCCACCGGCCACCGUGCCCAGCCCGCCCGAGACCAAGAAGCGCUCCUCAUCCCCCGCCGGCGAAGAGCGAGGAGGAGGAGAAGUAGAUCAAACGUGUGCUACAACUGCUGUGGGGGGGGGCUCUUUUCACGGCGGCUCAGCUCGAGGCCGUCUCCGGAGCUUCACUCGUCACUCCCCGUCACUCUCAAAUCCCUCUCACCCUCUCCCUCUCUGCGUCUGCCCCCCCCCCCACACCCCUCAUUGGCGUCCGAGUGGGUCUCUCUUCACCGCUCGUCUCCUCAUCAGCUCUCCCUCCCCUCGUCUCUCGCUCUCCAUUCCGUCUGCGUCUCCGCGCCGCCCCUCGGCUCUCUCGGGGGGUGUUUAUCGCAUCGAUAAGUGGGCUCGCCGGCGUCCUGGAGUGGCCGAGGAUGAAUAGUUAUUCCACCUACACCUGGCGGCAAGGUGACGGGUAUUGUUAUUCCUCUCUAAUCACCCGGACAGCGCGCCAUUCAAGGCAUUUGCAUUUAACAGUUGCAGCAGUAACACUGGUGGAAACGUUUGUAAAAUAUAUCUUUAUCAAGAGACAGAAAUGGUUUAUUGACGGUGUGUUACACAUAUAAGAGGAAUCUGGCCUGCCAGACAACUGCAUCACUGAGACUUGAUUAUAAUGCACACAUUGUGGAAGAGUUGUUUAACAUAUUUGUUUUGACAAGCUGUCGUCUCAUCCAGACGUUUCUUUGUUUUUUACAUUCUUCAUUCACCGACGAGAUUUGACAUUUAACCCAUUAAAAGGCAACUUGUCCUUUUUGUUAGUAUGGAUCAAACAAGACACAUAUCAUUAUCGUUGUUAAUUAUUGAGCUUCCGAGUUGAUAGGAAGCUGAUUUUGUCUUUUCGACAGUCAGUCCAGCUGUUCAUGAAAUAAACCAGCUGCUGCAUCACGUUUCCCUCGCCAACGCGACGGCGAUACUGAUCUUCUCAUCCACCUCUCCUUAUGAAAACGAGUGAAUAUUCCUUUAAACUCUUCGUGAAGUUUGAUACCGACACACUGGGAUGGUAUUGAUGAUGAUGCGUAGCAGCGCUGUGCCCCGGGGGGCCAUGGGGGCCCUUCACACAGUCCACCGCCUUCUCAGCCAACACAAAGGCGCUUUUACGAUGUGAAAUGAUGGCAACCGUUUCGCUAACUUUUAUGAUCAGCCCCGAGCAUCAAACUGGGUCAAUUAAAGCCAACUGCUGUACACAUUUUUGGGGGGUUGAUUCCUCUCCUUUAAUCCUCUGAAAUACUUUUCAGAAAUGUGCAAACAUGAAAACAGAGCCCAUUUCAAAUUCUUCUUACUUACAGUUACAGUUAUUAAAACGCAUCAUUAAACGUGCCGCUAUAAAUUGGAUUGUGAUACCGUUGUAUUUGAUUCAUUUUGGGCAGCUUUUGACUGUUUCCUUGUCCAAAGGUAUCAACACUUCUUUAAUGAGCUUUUCCGAUGUGCGUCUGUAACAUGGUUUCACUGUGUAGAUUACAUUGCUGGACAAAGCAUUUUCUGCCACCUUGUGUUUGUUUCUUCAAUAUUUUCAGACACUUCAUGAUGUGCUUGCGUUUCUCCUGCAAGUGUGAUUGACUCGCGCCGCCGACCUUUGACACCAACUGCGGUCAUAAAACAGACGAAGAGAGACGGAGUCACAAUGAAGAAGAGACAAAUAAACAACAAAAAAAGCAAGAAAACACACUGAGAAUGGGACAAAUGUUCCAAGUCAAUCGCGUCCACGCUGUGCUCAUUUAUCCGAUGUUGAGCCAGCACUGUUUGGAUUAAUGAUGAAAUGAUUAAAUUACUCUCCUUGAUCGGGUUAUAAAAUGCUGCUGAUCCAGCAGAAUCCCGGGGUAACAGGAAGAAGAACGGCCUCCAUCCAGUGCUUUGUUUAGGGCUUUGUUUGUCGGACUUGUUUUUAGAGAAAAACUGCACACACUUAGGUCCAAGACAUCUUGAAUAUUUUAGGUUUAAUCUUGAAGAUCACAAGUGAAUCUCUGCUAAAUGUGUAACAAAUCAUUUCAAACACCCCAAUUCGUACCGUUUCUCAACCGCUGUGUUUAAAUCAAAGAGCCCGUUGCCUAAUGCUAACUGCAAAAGCUCCUUGUGCAGUUAAGCCCCUUAAACUGCUGAACGAGGAAAUGCGAGCUUCUCUUGGUCGACACUCGGGGAGGCAUUUAGGAGCCACACAAAGAGCAGUGAAAGUGACAAUGAGAAGAGGAUUGGAGGAUAAUUUACCCCCCGAUUCAUUUUCUUUUUACCUAAACUAGUAGAUCAGUAGUAUGAUCCAUCACAGAGACACCUGUGAUGCCCCAGGUUCAUUUUAGGUUCCCAUUCUCGUCCCAUCUAAUGGCCUACAUCUAUCUUCCCUAAUAAAGUUUAUAUUUGCAUAAGUAAUUUUGGGGAAAAAAGCAGUGGAUGUCAAAGGAGCCAUAUGUCUGAUUGGAUCAACCUACCAAGUGCUUAAAAACUGUUGUGCAAACUUAAUGUCAUUACAUGUCAAUGUGAUUUUGUAAUACUUGACAAAAAAUACCA